rnacentral:rRNA from 1 species
AUUGAACGCUGGCGGCAUGCCUAACACAUGCAAGUCGAACGGCAGCACAGCAGUAGCAAUACUGUGGGUGGCGAGUGGCGGACGGGUGAGGAAUACGUCGGAAUCUGCCCAGUCGUGGGGGAUAACUAGCCGAAAGGUUAGCUAAUACCGCAUACGACCGAGAGGUGAAAGCGGGGGACCGCAAGGCCUCGCGCGAUUGGAUGAGCCGACGUCGGAUUAGCUAGUUGGCGGGGUAAAGGCCCACCAAGGCGACGAUCCGUAGCUGGUCUGAGAGGAUGAUCAGCCACACUGGAACUGAGACACGGUCCAGACUCCUACGGGAGGCAGCAGUGGGGAAUAUUGGACAAUGGGCGCAAGCCUGAUCCAGCAAUGCCGCGUGUGUGAAGAAAGGCCUUCGGGUUGGUUAAAAGGUACGAACCUUUUU